AAUUUUGUAUAGCUCUUUUGGAAUUUUUCUAACAGGAUUUCUGACAUUGAGAAAUCCCAA
ensembl:snRNA LOC120093934 U7 small nuclear RNA